rnacentral:rRNA from 1 species
GACGAACGCUGGCGGCGUGCUUAACACAUGCAAGUCGAACGGAAAGGCCCUGCUUUUGUGGGGUGCUCGAGUGGCGAACGGGUGAGUAACACGUGAGUAACCUGCCCUUGACUUUGGGAUAACUUCAGGAAACUGGGGCUAAUACCGGAUAGGAGCUCCUGCUGCAUGGUGGGGGUUGGAAAGUUUCGGCGGUUGGGGAUGGACUCGCGGCUUAUGAGCUUGUUGGUGGGGUAGUGGCUUACCAAGGCUUUGACGGGUAGCCGGCCUGAGAGGGUGACCGGCCACAUUGGGACUGAGAUACGGCCCAGACUCCUACGGGAGGCAGCAGUGGGGAAUAGUGCACAAUGGGCGGAAGCCUGAUGCAGCAACGCCGCGUGCGGGAUGACGGCCUUCGGGUUGUAAACCGCUUUCGCCUGUGACGAAGCGUGAGGGACGGGAAUGGGGAAAGAAGCACCGGCGAACUACGG